rnacentral:rRNA from 1 species
GAACGCGAAGAACCUUACCUACCCUUGACAUGCCAGGAAGCCCGCAGAGAUGUGGGUGUGCCCGAAAGGGAACCUGGACACAGGUGCUGCAUGGCUGUCGUCAGCUCGUGUCGUGAGAUGUUGGGUUAAGUCCCGCAACGAGCGCAACCCUUGCCAUUAGUUGCUACAUUCAGUUGGGCACUCUAAUGGGACCGCCGGUGACAAACCGGAGGAAGGUGGGGAUGACGUCAAGUCCUCAUGGCCCUUAUGGGUAGGCUUCACACGUAAUACAAUGGUCGGUACAGAGGGCUGCCAACCCGCAAGGGGGAGCUAAUCCCAGGAAGCCGAUCGUAGUCCGGAUUGUAGUCUGCAACUCGACUGCAUGAAGCCGGAAUCGCUAGUAAUCGCGGAUCAGCAUGUCGCGGUGAAUACGUUCCCGGGUCUUGUACACACC